rnacentral:rRNA from 1 species
UACGUAGGGUGCGAGCGUUCAUCGGAAUUCCUGGGCGUAAAGAGUGCGUAGGCGGUUCUUGAAGUACGCUGUGAAAGGCCCGGGCUUAACCUGGGAAUGGCAGUGGAAACUGGGGGACUUGAAUUGAGCAGAGGGGGGUGGAAUGCCGCGUGUAGCAGUGAAAUGCGUAGAGAUGCGGCGGAACACCGAUGGCGAAGGCAGCCCCCUGGGCUUAAAUUGACGCUGAGGCACGAAAGCGUGGGGAGCAAACAGG